rnacentral:rRNA from 1 species
GUUUCACUAAGGGCCCAUAAAUUCAAGGUAUGUUAGCUAUCUGUCGCUCUAUGGACCCCUUAAUACGAGAUCGUAUUAAGCGCGCGUCUUUAUUUAAAGAGUUUAAGACAUUGCGCAUGCUGUUGGGCUCUGAAAGCAACGAACGUGACCGCAACGUCUUGUUGCCUUAAUAAAGCAAGUUGUGUUAAUAGCAAUAUUAACCGCUUACAAAGGCUAUUUAAAACUAGACGGACCGCUGUUUCUUUUCUUAAACCAGAGGAAGGUUGCGGCAAUAACAGGUCUGUGAUGCCCUUAGAUGUUCCGGGCUGCACACGUGCUACAAUGAUCAGUACAGUGAGCAUCUCAAUAUAAUACACCGUCUUUAGCGCUUAGACGCGAUUAUCGGCUUACUUUUUAUUAAGGAGGUCUGUUUAAUCGAUGUUUUCUAAUGUGCGCGGUAAAGCCUGCUUCGAGAGUAAGCGGGUAAUCCAUUGGAAGUAAUGAUUUCUCUAUAUCUAGUGCACAACUAUGCACGGCACUCAUUCCCGAGACGGCUAGUUUCGUCUUUUAGUGUGAAUGUGGUGUUAUUCAAACGUGCGUGCAAUUGUCAAUUCAUGGUGGGGACAGACCAUUGUUAACUGUUGGUCUCGGUCUUAACUAGGAAUGCCUUGUACGGGUCUUUGGUUCAACAAACCACCCGGAAUACGUCCCUGCCCUUUGCACACACCGCCCGUCGCUCUUACCGAUGGACUUUUUUGUGAGUCUAAGGGACUGGGUUAAACCACUCGUUUAUUCGGAUGGCAGUACCUAUGGAAACUUAUGCGAACACAGUGGUCUAAAGGAAAGAGAAGUCGUAACAAGGC